UGAAAACAAAAUUCUUGGAAAACGAAAUAUUGAGCAUUGGUUCUAUUUUUAUAUUCAGACAUACUGCUGCCCAGCCGGCAUUUGGCAUUACGAAUUGUAAACAAUCCACCAGGGUUGCACAGAAAAAUGUUGUUGCUGGGCAAAUGACCCUACCUUCUAAGUUCUUGUACCAUGAGCAAUGCCUUAUUGCAAACGAACCUAUAAGUUGUAGAAGUAAACCUCUGACACUUAAUCCCAUAAUGGACGAAAAUAAGCUGCUAAGAGUCAACGGUCGACUCGCUAACUCGGACAUGAGUUAUAAUAAGACACAUCCACUGAUUGUACCAGAAAGCUCCUUCUUCAGUAAACUUUUGAUUGAGUUUACACAAAAUUUGGUUACAUGCCAAACACCAGUGGUGCAAUUCAUAAAGAAUUCUAUAUAAUACGUGUUAAAAAUGCAAUACGUCAUUAAGUAAGGAAAUGUCAAACAUGUGCAAUUUAUAAACAUAGAAUCAGAACCCAAAUAAUAACCGCUUUACCGACUGAA